rnacentral:rRNA from 1 species
UACGGAGGGUGCAAGCGUUAUCCGGAUUCACUGGGUUUAAAGGGUGCGUAGGUGGGUUGGUAAGUCAGUGGUGAAAUCUCCGUGCUUAACAUGGAAACUGCCAUUGAUACUACUGAUCUUGAAUUUUCUGGAGGUAAGCGGAAUAUGUCAUGUAGCGGUGAAAUGCUUAGAUAUGACAUAGAACACCAAUUGCGAAGGCAGCUAGCUACAGGGAUAUUGACACUGAGGCACGAAAGCGUGGGGAUCAAACAGG